GCCCAUGGUCCCUCUAAUAAGCAAUAUGCCAGCAAGAGUUGACAAAGUUUUUAAUUUCCAAAGUCUUUGAUCUAAGAGUAUGACAUUUCCCUCCUCGGAUCCCGUUUUGAUCAGGCAAUAAAUCCAAAGUAAGUAUGCUUGAGAAUUUUUGCAAAAUAAAACAGCCUCAGUGAGAUAUAUAUAUAUAAAAGAUAAUGAGUGAUAUGAGAGAACCUAUGAGGAUCAAAAAGGUAUGCUAACUUUCUUUCAAAAAUAUACAAAAACUCCAAGUGACAGGAUUGAAAAGAAAGAAUCUUUACACUUAACCAUACACAUCCCUGACUAUGGUACACAGUGGAAUUUUUAACACCCUGCAAUUAUAAAGAGAAUGUUUUAAAUGUUUACCCCAG
rnacentral:lncRNA from 1 species